rnacentral:tRNA from 1 species
UCCUGAAUGGUGCAAACGGCUAAGCACUUGGCUACUAACCAAAAGGUUGAUGGUUUAAACCCAUCUAGAGGUA